CCACACCCAAGCCCAUGGACACUGACACUGCCUUACACAAUUCCUUUGCGCUGUCAGAUAUGGUCGAGUUGCCCCCUAGAAGAGUUCAACAGGCUGAGAUGAUGCGGUAGUCGCUGCAGUUAGGUGUCCACCUGCGGGAAGCUCCAGGGAAGAAAAC